rnacentral:rRNA from 1 species
AACGAACGCUGGCGGCAUGCCUAACACAUGCAAGUCGAACGAGACCUUCGGGUCUAGUUGCGCACGGGUGCGUAACGCGUGGGAACCUGCCCUUAGGUUCGGAAUAACUCCCCGAAAGGGGUGCUAAUACCGGAUAAUGUCUUCGGACCAAAGAUUUAUCGCCUUUGGAUGGGCCCGCGUUGGAUUAGCUAGUUGGUAGGGUAAAAGCCUACCAAGGCGACGAUCCAUAGCUGGUCUGAGAGGAUGAUCAGCCACACUGGGACUGAGACACGGCCCAGACUCCUACGGGAGGCAGCAGUGGGGAAUAUUGGACAAUGGGCGAAAGCCUGAUACAGCAAUGCCGCGUGAGUGAUGAAGGCCUUAGGGUUGUAAAGCUCUUUUACCCGGGAUGAUAAUGACAGUACCGGGAGAAUAAGCUCCGGCUAACUCCGUG